UACAGAGAGUGCAAACGUUGUUCGGAAUUACUGGGCUUGAAGCGCACGUAGGCGGCGUUGUAAGUGUCAGGUGAAAUCCCACGGCUCACCCGUGGAACUGCCCGGCAUACUGCGAUGCUAGAGUGUGGUAGGGGAGAGCGGAACUCCUGGUGGAGCGGUGAAAUGCGUAGAUAUCAGGAGGAACACCGGUGGCGAAGGCGGCUCUCUGGUCCACAACUGACGCUGAGGUGCGAAAGCUAGGGGAGCAAACGGG
rnacentral:rRNA from 1 species